GCAAAACCACAGAAACAGCAAAACCCAGCCCUUCUGGAUUCUACUAAAAGAAAAAAAAAAGAAAAAAGAGAAAAUUUUUGAGUAAGGUUGUAAUAAACGUUAUGCAGAUUACAUCCAUGCAAUUAAAGUUGAACCCAUCCUGGUGUACGAUAUUAAGGAUUCUGUUCUGAAAAAUGAGCUUUUCUCUAUUUAUUCCUUGAAGUGAACAAUCACUCAGUGAAAACAAAAGCUCCUGCUGAAGACAGCAGAAGAUAGAGGAUGGAGUAACCUAUCUGGAAAGAAGAAGAACUGCAGAAGCCUUUGACACUCACUGUUUUCAAGAUCUGGGAAAGCUUUCCUCCUGCAAGGAGCAGAAACAUUCACUGGCUUGUUUCAGUCAGUGUGAAAGCCAGGAGCAGAAUGGAGACAACCUGGUUCCCACCUCUGAGACAGAAUAUAUUUCUCUGCAUUUUUAACUGUCCUUACCUUGGCUGCUUUGGAUUCUCUGAAUUUCUGAGUUGAAAAGCGAUGCACAGGACACAGACUGAGUAGCUCCAUGGAAAUCAGUAGACAUCACUGAUCCCCUGAGGAGCUCAGUUUGACUGAUGUUGAGAGCUUAUUUCACCAGUAGGCUGAGAUGAUUCAGAAAUCUAUUAACCAAACAGUCUGGAACAGCCAGUCAUAAAGUACUGAAGACCAAAUUCACCAACAUUAUAUUUGAGGAUGGAACUCAGACCAGUUUGGACUCACAAUUGGAUGCGUAAGGCCACAUUCUUGUAUUCAGGAACGCCUCUGUAACAGAAAGGGCUGGAGAUGUUCUUUCUCUCUCUUGUGCUGCAUUGAAGAGCCUAUAAAGGUCAGGAAGCAAUAGAAAAUACAGAUGUGCAUCCUGCUGAGUGGACAAGAGAAUGAAAUAAGCCUUUCCCUGCUUCCAGGAUGAGUGUUCGAACUGUAUCCCCAGCAGAAAUUGCUCAUCUAGAUGUCAUAAGAUAAGAUAGAUGGAAUGAUUUUCAGCAUUGUUCAUGUACCUUGGACAUGGAAGGUGGGCUUCAAGGUGAAAGUAUAUCUGCUCAGUAUCUUCUCAUCUGCAAGGCUGACAUGUGCCACUUGGAGGACAAAAGUGACUUCAGGAAGGACUGACAGCUAAACACUAAUUUUCAAAAAUCAAAGCCUUAAGCCUGCAUGCCAUAUUCUUAUGCUGACAAGUCACUGACAGAGUAUCAAGAAAUGGAGGCCACAAGAAACCUACCAAAUUCCCUGCAGAAGAUACCUGGGACAUAAUCGGAAUGAGGGGCUAUCACCAAAAGGUUGACAUUCCAAAGUGUUGAGCUCUACGGAUUUCCACAUCUGACUAUGGAAGCUGGAGACCUGUGAGAACCAGAUUUACAUUUACUUGUCUAAGAGCAGUCAUUUUCACACCUCUGGUGAAAUAUGGUUUCAGUGAAAUCAAGGACAAGUGUCACUUUUGGCUCAAUGGGACCAGGAUUCUUCAGCAAGAGAAAAAGUCUUUUGGACCCCAGGAGAUGAUAUACCCUGGAGCUGCUGGUCAUGCAGACUGUGAAAACUUUGUUUUGUGCUCUGAGAGGACCCACUGUUGUGACUUAAAUUGAAGAGGUGGGAAUAAACUUCUCAAGGAGGCACCCGGAUCAUCACUCACAUUUCAGCACAUGUAGGAAGAAGUGGAGGAAACAGUUACCAGAGAUAUCUGAGUAAUGGUGUUAAUCACACAGACUAAAGAGGUUGAAAGAAAGAUUCAGCACAUCCAGAACUGCAAAGUGAGCUGCAGCAGGGAACAUCAGCAAGGACCAUAUAUUUCAAACAGAAGCUGCCCUCUUUACUGUUUUUUUUAAAUAAAAGAUAUAUGGUUGAUCCAAAUGUGAAUGAUAUAUAUAGCAGAUGAACCCAGCAGUGUUUGUCGCUGAGUAUGUGAGGAAAGUGCUACCUUGGGAAAAUUGAACUAAACAAGAAAGUUAAAGAUUAAUAAUUAUUUUCCAUUUUGUGUUGUUUCCUUUCUUACUUUCAAGUUUGCUUGUAUUUUAAAGAUAGUGGAAUUUGAAAACUGCAACAGCCUCUAAAAACCGUUCUUGUUUGGGGGAAAAAAAGAGGAGAAAAGAUCUUUUCCAUCUGUCCAAGCAGGCCUAAAGACAUAAAUGUCUU
ensembl:lncRNA